UCAUCUUGCACUCGGGAUCUGGCCUGUCUUCUCCACCCCAGCUGGAGUCAUAGUCACGUUCAUGGCCCAGACGACCUUCUGCAGAGACAAGGUGAAUGUUUCUCGAAGGAAACUCUUACUAAAAAGGUUUAGAAAAUCCUGUCUGGAUUUGGAAUCUGGCCCAAUUUGCCUCACAUGGAUCGGGUCGCGGAAAGAGCACUGCUCAGAGGAUCUGAUAAAGGGAGCUGUGCUUCUGAUUCCGACCCUUGCUGCCCGCGUGCCUGUGGACAAGCCUCAGCGGGAGACGCAAGGACUUCUGGACAGGCAGCCCAGAAGACCAAGGGGCUCGCUCAGGUCACGCGGUGAGACUGGCCGAAUCCCGUCUCUAGAGCACGUUGCUCUCAAAUAGAAUCCUCCCCUCGGGAGGGUAGAGACCUUCACUGCCAUGUGUCCCUCCUGUAUCCUGCGUGCAGAGUGCGACGCUUGGCACCUUGCAGGUGCUUGAUCGGAAGUAGAAUGAAGAACGAGUCUCGGUGGAAGAACUUUCACGGGUCAGGCUCCCUGCCCUUGGCUCUGGGAACAGCACCGUGAAGGGGGCUGAUUAACACGGUUCCUUCUCCUACAGAACUUAGGGAUAAACUGGGGCUUGGACCCGAUACACAUUAUUACAGAGGUGAAUGCAAUAAUUACAACCGUCUGCUCUUUACAGACAAGAGGACAGGACCCAGGCAGGCCUCAGAGCUGCCCACUGGGUGAGGAAAGGAGGGGAGGUCGGGCCUGACCCCCAGGCCCACCUGGCCCCUACUAAUGCCUCGUCUUGCUUCACAGAGCUGGGCUCUGUCAUCCUGGCUAAAGGGUGUGACUAGGCCUGCCUGAGGGAAGAGUGACCUCAGCUGCUCGGCUGCAGGGGCCCUGCCAGACUCUGUCACACCUACAGCGAGGGCUGCCCCUGCCUGAAGCCCUGGGCUGGGCAGGGACAGGGCAGGUACUGAGUCUCCACCCAUCAGCUGUGCGUUGUGUUCCCUAAGUCCUCCCACUGGGUCAGCCCAGUCUGCCCAAGCUGUUCUUUCUGCCUGGGGUGGCCGCUCCACUCCUCAUCCCCCGAAAAAAUUCUUCCCAUGCUUCCAGGUGAAGUGCAAACCUCACCUCCUCCA